rnacentral:rRNA from 1 species
UAGGGAAUCUUCGGCAAUGGACGAAAGUCUGACCGAGCAACGCCGCGUGAGUGAAGAAGGUUUUCGGAUCGUAAAACUCUGUUGUUAGAGAAGAACAAGGACGUUAGUAACUGAACGUCCCCUGACGGUAUCUAACCAGAAAGUCACGGCUAACUACGUGCCAGCAGCCGCGGUAAUACGUAGGUGGCAAGCGUUGUCCGGAUUUAUUGGGCGUAAAGCGAGCGCAGGCGGUUUCUUAAGUCUGAUGUGAAAGCCCCCGGCUCAACCGGGGAGGGUCAUUGGAAACUGGGAGACUUGAGUGCAGAAGAGGUGAGUGGAAUUCCAUGUGUAGCGGUGAAAUGCGUAGAUAUAUGGAGGAACACCAGUGGCGAAGGCGGCUCUCUGGUCUGUAACUGACGCUGAGGCUCGAAAGCGUGGGGAGCAAACAGG